AUUGAACGCUGUAGGCGGGCCUAACACAUCCAAGUCGAACGCGUGGCGGCCGGGUGAGUAAUGUCUGGGAAACUGCCUGAGGGGGGGGGAUAACUACUGGAAACGGUAGCUAAUACCGCAUACCAUCAGAUGUGCCCAGAGGGGAUUAGCUUGUUGGUGGGGUAAGGGCUUACCAAGGCGACGAUCCCUAGCUGGUCUGAGAGGAUGACCAGCCACACUGGAACUGAGACACGGUCCAGACUCCUACGGUAGGCAGCGUUGGGGAAUAUUGCACAAUGGGCGCAAGCCUGAUGCAGCCAUGCCGCGUGUAUGAAGAAGGCCGUCGGGUUGUAAAGUACUUUCAGCGGGGAGGCGUUACCCGCAGAAGAAGCACCGGCUAACUCCGUGCCAGCAGCCGCGGUAAUUC
rnacentral:rRNA from 1 species